UACGAAGGGGGCUAGCGUUGCUCGGAAUCACUGGGCGUAAAGGGUGCGUAGGCGGGUUUUUAAGUCAGGGGUGAAAUCCUGGAGCUCAACUCCAGAACUGCCUUUGAUACUGAAGAUCUUGAGUCCGGGAGAGGUGAGUGGAACUGCGAGUGUAGAGGUGAAAUUCGUAGAUAUUCGCAAGAACACCAGUGGCGAAGGCGGCUCACUGGCCCGGUACUGACGCUGAGGUGCGAAAGCGUGGGGAGCAAACGGGG
rnacentral:rRNA from 1 species